GAUGAACGCUGGCGGCGUGCCUAAUACAUGCAAGUCGAGCGAACAGACGAGGAGCUUGCUCCUUCGACGUUAGCGGCGGACGGGUGAGUAACACGUAGGUAACCUACCUAUAAGACUGGGAUAACUUCGGGAAACCGGAGCUAAUACCGGAUAAUAUUUCGAACCGCAUGGUUCGAUAGUGAAAGAUGGCUUUGCUAUCACUUAUAGAUGGACCUGCGCCGUAUUAGCUAGUUGGUAAGGUAACGGCUUACCAAGGCAACGAUACGUAGCCGACCUGAGAGGGUGAUCGGCCACACUGGAACUGAGACACGGUCCAGACUCCUACGGGAGGCAGCAGUAGGGAAUCUUCCGCAAUGGGCGAAAGCCUGACGGAGCAACGCCGCGUGAGUGAUGAAGGUCUUCGGAUCGUAAAACUCUGUUAUUAGGGAAGAACAAACGUGUAAGUAACUGUGCACGUCUUGACGGGACCUAAUCAGAAAGCCACGGCGAACUACGU
rnacentral:rRNA from 1 species